rnacentral:lncRNA from 10 species
CUUGCAGCCAAAUCUAGUCAUAACAGAAAUUCUCAUGAAGCACAGACAGUCAUGAAGUUGGGAACUUAUCAAUCUAGUUGGAGCCAUGGGACAUUAAAAUAAUGUUUUCUCCUCAGUGCCCCUGGACCUUGAACUAGUAGGAAGCAAAAAGCAGAGGUUUCCAUUGAGUUGGGCUAUUUGGGGAACUUCCAUUGACUUGGACAAUGGAGGUUCAGCUAUCCAUCAAACUAUUUGCAGAGUCCAAAUUUUUAUGCUUCCCACUGAACCCCCAAGUCAAAAAAACCAUAAAUUAUGUUGUACCAUAUCAAAUUGUCAUUUUAAAAAAAGUUUAAAAAUAAUCAAAUAUUGGCAGUUUUAUUUGGUUCAAAGUAUAGAUGAGUUUUCAAUUUUCAUGAUUUUUUGAAGAGUUAACUUCUAAAAAUAGCAAGCAAGAAUAUUACCAGUAACAAAAUGUUAAAUAUAGAGCAAUAGUUGAAAAUUGAUAUUUAAAAAAUAAUUUAUAUAUAAGAACACUAAGGCUUGGAGAGUUUAGACUGUUUGCCCACAUGCACACAGCUGGGAGCUGGAAGGGUCAUAAUGAGAACCUGGAUCUGGCUGAACCUGAAACCCAGGCUGGAGUGCAGUUGUGUGAUCAUGGCUCACUCCAGCCUUGACCUCUCAGGCUCAAGUGAUUCUCCUGUCUCAGCCUCCAGAGUAGCUGAGACAACUACAGGCCUGUGCCAACACACCCAGCUAAUGUGUUUUUAUUUUUUGUAGAGAUGAGAUCUCACUAUGUUGCCCGGGCUGAUCUUAAACUCCUGGGCUCAAGUGAGCCUCAAGCCUUGGCCACCCAAAGGGCUAGGAUUAUAGGCGUGAGCCACGGUGCCCAGCCUCAGCAUGUUGUUAACAUUAACAACCAUCUUAUCUUAUUUUCUUGUUAUGAAACAGGGCAUUUGAAAAAAACCUAGAAAAUAUAGGUAGGCAAAAGAAAAAUUUGGAGAAUAAGCAGAUAUCAGUUUUUGCCCUCAGUCUAGAGAAGGGGGAAGUCAAUAAACAAGUAAAUCAGCAAAUAUAUUGACCACAAAUUGAGAUAUUUGAAACAAAAUGCCAUUAAAAAGAGAAAAGACUUUUAGAAUAUAGAAUAAUGGGGUCAGGGAGGUGUGGGGGAAUAUCCUAACUUAAGGAGGUCAGCAAAGCCCUUGUUGAGGAGAUGACAAGAUGACAUUUCAGCUGAGAUGAGAAUGGAAGGAGUGAUGCAAGCAGCUGAGUGUCCAGGCAAGGGUCAGUCAGGGCAGUGUAAAGGAUUAGAAUGUACCAUCUCAAAAUAUGCUGCUUUGGCAUAUUCAUUAUUUUCAGAUGAAGGCAGUUGAGAAACAGCAUAUGCAGGAAGGGCUCUCUGCCCUCCCCUUUUCUACCUAAAAGCAGAGCAUAAAUUUCCCAUAAGUACCCUCCCUGUACCAGGAAGAAGAGUAGAACAUUCUUAUCAUUGGAGAUGGAGAGUUGAUACUGAGAUGAAUCUAUAAAAACAAAUCUUACUAAAAUAACUUAUAUCUUCCAUUAGUUUCUUUAUAUAUUUUAUAGUCACUUUUCCACAAUUCACUACCCCUAGCCCAAGCCUUUUUUUCCUUUGUCUUGCCACAUCUUCACAAUUUAUUGCCCUUUGUUAAAAUGGUAUGUGAGCCCCUAGGUCUAACGGUCCUUUGGAUUUUCAUUUUUUUCUAUGAAGCCUCUCAUGUUAUAUAAAAAUAUUAAUUAAUAUCAAAUAAAAUGUGUAUAGUUUUCCUCCUGUUAGUCUGUUUUUUGUCCGUUCAAGCUAUCAUCUCCAGACUCAGAACCUAAGGGGGUAGAGGAAAAGCCUUUCCUCUUCUACAGCAGGAAGGAGGUUGGCAUAUUUGAUAUUCUUCCCAGGAAGAGGAAAAAGAGGAGGAAGCCAGUGGGGCUGGCUUGGAGUGAAACAGGGGAUGUGGGUGUGUGCAGGAUCCCUGCUGUUGUAGGACUUUCUCCUUAGUUCAGCUAACAACGGGGUUCUUGUCACACAACCAUGAGAGAUUAGGCUUGCAGACACUUCGAAGGUUUGAGAAAAAUUGAAUUUAUUAGGCAAAAAAGGGAAAAAACAGGAAACAGGGACUCUCAGCAAAGCAGAAGUCCUGCUAGUUGGCUUCCUGCCUCACGGACUGAAUCCCGGGUUCCACCCUGGAACAGGAGAGGCCAGGCUCCUCCCACCUGCAAAUGACAUGAACUUCCUGAGGCUCCACCCCAUCCUCCCAGUGUGCAGGCUGGUUGAAGUUUCUGCCAGGGGGCAGAAACUUUUUACUUGGC